AUUGAACGCUGGCGGCAUGCUUUACACAUGCAAGUCGAACGGCAGCGCGGGCUUCGGCCUGGCGGCGAGUGGCGAACGGGUGAGUAAUACAUCGGAACGUGCCCAGUAGUGGGGGAUAGCUCGGCGAAAGCCGGAUUAAUACCGCAUACGACCUGAGGGUGAAAGCGGGGGAUCUUCGGACCUCGCGCUUUUGGAGCGGCCGAUGGCAGAUUAGCUAGUUGGUGGGGUAAAGGCCUACCAAGGCGACGAUCUGUAGCUGGUCUGAGAGGACGACCAGCCACACUGGGACUGAGACACGGCCCAGACUCCUACGGGAGGCAGCAGUGGGGAAUUUUGGACAAUGGGCGAAAGCCUGAUCCAGCAAUGCCGCGUGUGUGAUGAAGGCCUUCUGGUUGUAAAGCACUUUUGGCGGGAACGAAAAGGACUGUGCCAAUACCACGUUUCGAUGACGGUACCCGCAGAAUAAGCACCGGCUAACUACGUG
rnacentral:rRNA from 1 species